UAUGGAGGGGGCAAGCGUUGUUCGGAAUUACUGGGCGUAAAGGGCGCGCAGGCGGCUGCUCAAGUCAGGCGUGAAAGGCCUGGGCUCAACCCGGGAAUUGCGCUUGAGACUGGGCUGGCUUGAGUGCGGGAGAGGAUGGUGGAAUUCCCAGUGUAGAGGUGAAAUUCGUAGAUAUUGGGAAGAACACCGGUGGCGAAGGCGGCCAUCUGGACCGCAACUGACGCUGAGGCGCGAAAGCGUGGGGAGCAAACAGG
rnacentral:rRNA from 1 species